GCAAGCGUUGUUCGGAAUUACUGGGCGUAAAGGGCGCGUAGGCGGCCUUCUAAGUCGAACGUGAAAUCCCUGGGCUCAACCUAGGAACUGCGUCCGAUACUGGAAGGCUUGAAUCCGGGAGAGGGAUGCGGAAUUCCAGGUGUAGCGGUGAAAUGCGUAGAUAUCUGGAGGAACACCGGUGGCGAAGGCGGCAUCCUGGACCGGUAUUGACGCUGAGGCGCGAAAGCCAGGGGAGCAAACGGG
rnacentral:rRNA from 1 species